UUGAACGCUGGCGGCAUGCUUUACCCAUGCAAGUCGAACGGCAGCGCGGGCUUCGGCCUGGCGGCGAGUGGCGAACGGGUGAGUAAUGCAUCGGAACGUGCCCAGUAGUGGGGGAUAGCCCGGCGAAAGCCGGAUUAAUACCGCAUACGACCUGAGGGUGAAAGCGGGGGACCGAAAGGCCUCGCGCUAUUGGAGCGGCCGAUGUCGGAUUAGCUAGUUGGUGGGGUAAAGGCUUACCAAGGCGACGAUCCGUAGCUGGUCUGAGAGGACGACCGGCCACACUGGGACUGAGACACGGCCCAGACUCCUACGGGAGGCAGCAGUGGGGAAUUUUGGACAAUGGGGGCAACCCUGAUCCAGCCAUGCCGCGUGCGGGAAGAAGGCCUUCGGGUUGUAAACCGCUUUUGUUCGGGAAGAAAUCCUCUGGGCUAAUACCCCGGGGGGAUGACGGUACCGGAAGAAUAAGCACCGGCUAACUACGU
rnacentral:rRNA from 1 species